GAUGAACGCUGGCGGCGUGCCUAAUACAUGCAAGUCGAGCGAACAGACGAGGAGCUUGCUCCUUUGACGUUAGCGGCGGACGGGUGAGUAACACGUAGGUAACCUACCUAUAAGACUGGGAUAACUUCGGGAAACCGGAGCUAAUACCGGAUAAUAUUUCGAACCUCAUGGUUCGAUAGUGAAAGAUGGCUUUGCUAUCACUUAUAGAUGGACCUGCGCCGUAUUAGCUAGUUGGUAAGGUAACGGCUUACCAAGGCAACGAUCCGUAGCCGACCUGAGAGGGUGAUCGGCCAAAAUGGAACUGAGACACGGUCCAGACUCCUACGGGAGGCAGCAGUAGGGAAUCUUCCGCAAUGGGCGAAAGCCUGACGGAGCAACGCCGAGUGAGUGAUGAAGGUCUUCGGAUCGUAAAACUCUGUUAUUAGGGAAGAACAAACGUGUAAGUAACUGUGAACGUCUUGACGGUACCUAAUCAGAAAGCCACGGCUAACUACGUG
rnacentral:rRNA from 1 species